ensembl:lncRNA
GUGUACAUGAAAACAUGUUUUCAAAAAAAAAAAAAAAAAAAACUAUAAAACAGGAGGUAAAAAAAAGAAAACAUUGUUUUAAGUCCAAACCUGUUAGACCAAAUAAAAAACAAAACUGACUAUAAAAACUAUAAAACGUCAACUCUCGAUGCCUGAACUUCAACCUUGCCAACACACACAUGUGAACAAAAGUUAUUUUUGUCUGUGACAGAGGUCAAUUAGCUGGCCAUUUUUCUUUUUAUCUUCAAUCAAAGUUUGAAGUGGCUCUUUUUGCAAAUUUCCCUGCAUUUCUCUGCAAAUUGUGACAGUUUUGCCCUCUAUGAAAAUUUUCACGCAAGGUCUUGUAGGCUUCAGUGUCACACGCCUCCAGCUCCGCUAUUGCUGCAGUGUCAACAAUGGUUUUUCGGUCAAUCCCACACUUGCGGUAAGCCAGGGUUUUGGUGACUCCCUUAUCGAUGUACUGCAGGACCUUUUUAUACCUCUGGAUAACAUGCUCUGGUAGAAACACUGGGAGAGAACAAAGGUGCAUAAUUGAUAAGUGACUCAAAAAAAAUAUUUCACACAGAGAGACAGAGAGACAGACAGGUAAUACUGAAACAGCAGAUUUUAAGAAUAUGCAACUUUUUUUUUUACAGUCUAUUAUUACCUACCGGUAUAUGAACUUCAUCCAGUUUUGUAAGGUCACCUUGCUAUUGAGCUAGCUAAACCAGUAAUCAACAUGCGGUUUUGUUAACGUGAUUUAAUUGUGCCCACUUCAAAAUACCGCGAAUAUAGUAGCUACAUCAAUAACAGAAUUGUUUAGUGUUUUAGAACGCACUGUGUAACUUAUUUUACAUGUUAUUUGGUGUGGCCUAAGUAUGGGCUGAAUCAGAGCUCUGUCUGGGCUGGAUUUAAUUCUAAUUCACUCCCUGACCGAAGAUGGAGCUAUGCCACCAGCGCUGGGCAAAUUUCUGGUUGAUUAAUGUUACCAGUUUAACCUUUUCACGCGUGAGUUUCAAAUAUGCCUUAACGGCCCCCCAGAGUGAGUUUUUUUGCGCGUGAGUUCAGCACUCACUCAGAGUUCCAGAAUUUGAUUGUGACGUCACAAUACAUUUAAUCUGCAGCUUCCCAAAAACACCAUGCUGCUUACUAGUUAUGCAUCUAUUUUUUUAUUUAAAUUAUAUUAACAAACUUCUACCGGUAGUAACUGCUAAAAAUGUAUAUUGAAUAAUUAUGAACCAAUCUUAAAAAUGCUGUCCUAUUUCUAAAGAUCGCGGCGAGAAAGAUACUGAAACGCUUCACUUGUUGUAUCAAUAAAACAUACGCAAUCUAUCAGGCAAUAGGUGGUGUGUAAAUUGUUUUACGUAAUUAUUCAGAAGCUCUCAAAAAAUUCUAAAUUCCGAUUCUUGCAUUUAGUAAUGGACAAAUGCGAUCAGUGAAAAGGUAGAUUUUUUUAAGAUUACGUAGAACUUUUUUCUCAACAAAAUUUUGCCUUAUUCACCCACGUCACUUCCUUUAAACCAAAACGAGGCUGUGGGGUACGGAAGUAACGUUGGCCUGCCCAUCUGUCAUAACGUUACCUACAAUGCCGCCGCAUUGUUGUGUUCCCAAAUGUACAUCUUCAAAGAGAAAGAAAUCCUAUACAAGUCAAACAUUCCAUCGUUUCCCAAAAGAUCCUGUAUUUUGCCGUGAAUGGAUUCAUAAUAUAAGAAGAGAUCCCGGUCGCCAUUUCAAGUGUUUCUACCAGAGCAUGUUAUCCAGAGGUAUAAAAAGGUCCUGCAGUACAUCGAUAAGGGAGUCACCAAAACCCUGGCUUACCGCAAGUGUGGGAUUGACCGAAAAACCAUUGUUGACACUGCAGCAAUAGCGGAGCUGGAGGCGUGUGACACUGAAGCCUACAAGACCUUGCGUGAAAAUUUUCAUAGAGGGCAAAAACUGUCACAAUUUGCAGAGAAAUGCAGGGAAAUUUGCAAAAAGAGCCACUUCAAACUUUGAUUGAAGAUAAAAAGAAAAAUGGCCAGCUAAUUGACCUCUGUCACAGACAAAAAUAACUUUUGUUCACAUGUGUGUGUUGGCAAGGUUGAAGUUCAGGCAUCGAGACGUUUUAUAGUUUUUAUAGUCAGUUUUUUUUUUUAUUUGGUCUAACAGGUUUGGACUUAAAACAAUGUUUUCUUUUUUU